AUUGAACGCUGGCGGCAGGCCUAACACAUGAAAGUCGAACGAGUGGCGGACGGGUGAGUAAUGUCUGGGAAACUGCCCGAUGGAGGGGGAUAACUACUGGAAACGGUAGCUAAUACCGCAUACCAUCGGAUGUGCCCAGUUGGGAUUAGCUAGUAGGUGGGGUAACGUCUCACCUAGGCGACGAUCCCUAGCUGGUCUGAGGGGAUGACCAGCCACACUGGAACUGAGACACGGUGCAGAGUCCUACGGGAGGCAGCAGUGGGGAAUAUUGCACAAGGGGGGCAAGCCUGAUGCAGCCAUGCCGCGUGUAUGAAGAAGGCCUUCGGGUUGUAAAGUACUUUCAGCGAGGAGGCGUUACUCGCAGAAGAAGCACCGGCUAACUCCGUGCCAGCAGCCGCGGUAAUAC
rnacentral:rRNA from 1 species